CAGGUAACUACCUUAUCCCGCCAAAUCAACUCCCAAACGUCUCUUUCUCCAGCACAAACAAACUCCCGUUCUCUUCUCUCAAGUGAUGGGGUUGGAUGGAGUUGGCGGUGGUUCAUCUACGAAUGCUUGGUGUAUUCCGCAAGCUGGGGGAAGGGAAGUUAGGAUGUGUGUGGUUUGGGGAGCUAGUGGUAAUUGAAAUCAAUGGUGGGGCGGCUUGCAGGGAUUAUGGGAGGAGGGAUGAUCAGGGGCCUGAGUGAUUAUUAGAGAAAUAGCAGGUGGGCAGCUCGUGGCGGAGGAGAUUUUUCCCUUUAAAUUGGUGUCGUCAAGAUUACUUGCUGGACUAUUGACUAUAUUUGUUGUUUCAGUUUCUAUAUUGUUUCGUGUAAUUGAACACGGAGCAAUUGUUGAGGCCCCGGUCCAGGAAAGGGCGGGGUGUGACAGGAAUUUUUAGCACCACGAAUGCUGUGAGGUGCACCUUUAUUCCUUUUAGCACUUCUUAUUUAAUAGGCCUCACUGUACAGAAAUGUUCGCGUUCCUUGUGUGGAUUUUAUGUUUUCAAUCUAAGUGCAGCAAGGUUUGCUUAUUAAGUGUUUGAUGUUUUUGUUUGCAGAAUGGAGUUUCUACGAUCUAUUAAGUGUUUGUGUAGUUGAAAAUUUGAUGGAUAUGAUUUUGGAAGAUGGAUUGUUGCAUUUCUGUAAUUCUUUGUGGGGACUGCAUGCAUAGUUUCCAUUAAUUUUUUUUAUUGUCUUGUUAGUUCAUUGAAUCUUGAUCCCACCUUAGGUGAAGAUCUGCUAUUUCCUAUUGAUGUUAUGGAUGUCAAAUUAAUUCAUUUACAGAAAAUUGGAUUAUCGUUUUAGUUUGUCAUGUUUUGUGAUCUUUAUCCCUUAGCUGAGAACAUUUUAAGGUAUGAUGUUUGUGUAGGGCAAUUGUAUAAUAAAGAGCAGCUAAUCUAUUCUACAUUACUCCAUAUAAUAAUUUAGGCAUACUGGAAACCACAGUCUGGCAUCAUAUGGAGUAUGCUACUGUGUCAAAUUUGUACAAAAGAAUUGAUUCAAAAUGUCUUUAUUUCAGUUCUAAAUACUACUAACUUCUGUUAUGGGGCUCCAUAUGGCAAACAAUAGGCACUAGGGUGUGGGACUUCAGCUGGCCACAGGUACCGCUAGAUUUCAUAUGGUUAACCAACGAAAAUCAGUGGGAACAGGUGCCGCUAUAUUUCAAACUGACAACUUCACUCCAUGAUCAAGGUUACCAGCAAAGCUUCAACUUCGAUUCAUGUAGCAUAGACUCUCAAUGGCAGUCUUGAAAGCAAACCGAGGAGCAUAAUAUACGGGCUCAAAUCCUGUCUACAAAAGAAGUGUGUUGCCUUGUGUUCCAUCACUGACAAACCAAAAUAGAGGUUCAAUGGUCAUAUUCCAAAUGAUAGUCAUAGUAAAACAACAUAAAAAGCAUAAUUCAGAGGAAGAAUAGGUGGAGAGAAAAGUCCAUUGUGUAGUUCAGGUGAUGUCAUGGUGGGAAAGUAGAAUGGAGGCUGAGGUAGUUGUUAAUGUAGAUGGGAUUCUAUUUGGGAUGCCCUUACCGACUAUGAGCAGCUUGCUGAUUUCAUUCCCAAUCUUGUGGCAGGAGAAUUCCUUGUCCACAUCCUGGAUGUAUUUGGUUGGAGUAGAAAGGCUUGCAACGAGCUGUUUAUUGGCACGUAGAAGCUUGGGUUGUGUUGGAUCUCCAAGAGUUUUCAAAAUUCAGUAAGCAUGUUGAACUACACGAUGGCAUCCAUUUUAGAUGUCCAGUUAAAGAUACCAAAAUUUGUAUUAAGCAACAGAUGGGAACUAACUUUGAAAACCAUCUCCAAUCAUAGAUUUGCCUUAUGUUACUCAAUAUGCCAUAACUGCAUUUUUUCAGUCUACUAUAUGAGCUGCAAUUUGCUUUUGCAUCUGUUACAUUGAAACUUUCUCCAAGUGAAGAAUGUUUAAGUAUUGAACUUUGAUAAAGAUAUGAGUAGGGUAAAGGUGACUAUACAAGGUUUGAGCGUGGGACCCUGAGGGAUCUUGAAAAAUAUUUUGACCAUUCAAGGAGCUCCAUGAUAUUAGUUAUGAUGCAUAAGAUUUUAGAGCUGUCCUAUCCUUCUAUAUUCCAUCAUUUUAUUACUGAUAUUAUGCAGGAGAAAUUCUAAUAACAAAAGAGCUCCUAUCAUAUCCAUCUUCCUUUCCUAUUAUUUUCAUUUCCUGACGAGCAAUGCUUCUAAGAAACUCAAUUCGUUUGCACCUUCCCUCAGUUGAGAAGUUAACAGGAAGGCAAGGCAGAACUGGUAUUUCCGCUACUUUUAAGGACAAACAAGACUUUUCCAAGCAUUUCUCUGCUUGUCCAUUCUGGUAGAGUAGGUAACUGUAAUUAGGCAUACUUGUGUGAUAACUUUAUCUCAGUUUUUAACUAUCUGCAACUGACUGUUAUUUAGGCAAAUGAUUGUGAACUCCAGGUUUUCAUGGUUGAUGGUGAUUUCAAGAAGUUCGAAGGAAAAUGGUCUGUCAAAUCUGGUAAAAGGUCGUCAAAGACUACUUUGAGUUAUGAGCUAAAUGUCACACACCAACAUUCAAUUUUCCUGCAAUUUUCUUGGAGACAAUCAUCAGUUUAGAUCUUCCAAUGAAUCUUCAAGCCUUGGGUAGCAAAGCUGAAAGUAGUUUCAAGAACAGCCAGAAUUCAUUGACCGAUUAAGCUCCUCCAGUUACAACAUUAGCAGACUCCCUUACUUCCACAAGUUCAGAUGUCAGUGGUGUUACGCCUGACAAGAGUGUUUUUUCCACUGGAGAAUUAAAAGAAAUUAGUCAAGGCUACCUUGAGCCCCUUAUCUCCAGCAACAAGUGAGUUAACAGUAACUGGGCAAUAUUUGGUAAAGUAUGCAAGCUUUAUAAGCCAUGUAUGGUAGAUGAAGUUCAUCUCCGUAGAUUUGAUGGACUUUUGGUAACUGAUGACUCUUCAGGAAACCUUGCAUUUACCUGUGAAAGCCAUGUCUGAGAAAGUUGUCUAACCCAUCAUUUGGUCUUCUUGUGAAAGAAAAUGGAGGUGUUCACCAUUGUGUUAUUGCUAGCAUCACUGUAAAAGCUCCAUGUGUGAAGUUUGGAAUAUUUUGAACGAGUAUGGGAGAUUCCCUGAGUAGGUAACAAAAGCUUUCAGUGGUGACCUCUGAAUCCUGGAGAAUAAUAGGAUGGUUCCGAACUUAGCUAUCAGCAAUAUUCUGUCACGCGAGAACAAUAAAAUUCGCAAUCUUCAGGUACAAACUUCUGUUUUCGCACUAACAAUUAAUGGUGAGAUAUCAAAAAGUAAAGUAAUUGUGUCCAUGUUUGUCUCAUAUGUACAAAUCUUAUUGCUGGAUGCAAGGGUUUACUAUAUAUGGUACUUCAUGCGCGUGUUGUACUUUACUCGUGUGAAAUACUUGAACAAGAUAGUAGCUUUGAUCAGGUUGAAGGCGAUUUUGAUUCAUUCAGAGGGAAAUACAAUUUAGUGUGUAAGGAUUACAGAAUCGAAAUUAAAGGGUUAGAAUUCUAGACCUUAACAUACUUGCAACAGUGUGCUUGACUUCUCUAUUGGAACCUGUGUGCUGGAUUAAUGUCUAAUUCUACAGAUAAGUUGAUUGCAAAAGAGUUGGGGAAUGGACCCUUCAUUCGUGCCCAGCAGAAAAGCUUUUGAGCAAGCAGGGGGAAAAAUUACAUUUCAUCUAGAUUUCUUGUCAUUUCAGUGAUAAAAUUUUAUGCUUUACUUAUAACCAGGAAAAGACUCAACUUUUGCACUAGCUGGUCUAGCUUGUUCUUAUGCAUAAAAAAGUUUGACAAACUCUUAUUUGUAAUCCUUUUAUACACACGAAACGAAGUGUAGAUAUGCUAGAGUGAUCCUGAUGUGGAACACCAUCAGAGCAUGUAAAUGUCUAAAUAGUUCUUCAUGAAGUUUCACGUCUUCUUUCACUUAAGGUAAGGCAUCCUAGCAGACAGGCAAGCUUAGCAAGCUUAGCCUUAUAUUUCGCAAAACACUCAGAAGCGGCUGACAAAAGUGAAGGAAUUUGACAUAAAUUGGGUGGAAUGAUGUCUGUAUC